GAUGAACGCUGGCGGCGUGCCUAAUACAUGCAAGUCGAGCGAACAGACGAGGAGCUUGCUACUCUGACGUUAGCGGCGGAAGGGUGAGUAAAACGUGGAUAACCUACCUAUAAGACUGGGAUAACUUCGGGAAACCGGAGCUAAUACCGGAUAAUAUAUUGAACCGCAUGGUUCAAUAGUGAAAGACGGUUUUGCUGUCACUUAUAGAUGUAUCCGCGCCGCAUUAGUUAGUUGGUAAGGUAACGGCUUACCAAGGCGACGAUGCGUAGCCGACCUGAGAGGGUGUACGCCGCCACUGGAACUGAGACACGGUCCAGACUCCUAGGGGAGGCAGCAGUAGGGAAUCUUCCGCAAUGGGCGAAAGCCUGACGGAGCAACGCCGCGUGAGUGAUGAAGGUCUUCGGAUCGUAAAACUCUGUUAUUAGUGAAGACCAAAUGUGUAAGUAACUAUGCACGUCUUGACGGUACCUAAUCAGAAAGCCACGGCUAACUACGUG
rnacentral:rRNA from 1 species